CCAUAUCCACGAAAGUGUCUAAGGCCGAUGCUACUUAAGCACAAAAUCAUACAUAGCUUAUGGUCAACGAGUUAGGGCCGUCGUAACUUAUCGUGCUUAGACCAUUCUCUGUUGAUGUCGCUCGUCUCGCUAGAACGCACAGCGAGCAAAAUUUCGACAUGAAUCAUGUUAAAUAAAACAUAGUUAUACUUACAUUUUCUUUGUUUUUUAUUUUAAUAAUUUUACAAUACAAUUUUUGACCAAAUAACACGGAGUGAAUGACAGUAUUUCUUGGAAAAGAAAAAUAUUAAAAUACAUUCCCGUUGGAAACGAGAAUUUGUGUAAACAAACAGUCACCAGCUCAGUCACCAGCCUCACGUCCUAUACUGUACAACCUGCCUUCGGCGUUGUGUGUUCCAACUCUACCAGAUCUCCUCCUGUCCUACAAUACCAGAAAGGACGUGAGACCUGCUGCAGGAGGAGCAACAGCAGAUCCGUUGGUCGGUAUCAAUAGCCACGAAUCUGCAGAUGCACCAACUGUAAUAUAUGUUGAUGCAUCUGCAGAAGAAGCGCUUCCCCCUUCAUCCACCCCCUCAGAAGAUCCCACCACGGGACAAAUGGGAGCUGUAAAGGCAGUGGAGUCUGCUGCCCAGGAACACAAGGCAGCUGCUCAGGCAGUGGCAUCCGCUGCACGGGCCCAAGAGGCAGCUGCCCGAGCACAGGAGUCCGCUGCGAGGGCCAAGGAGUCCGCUGCGAGGGCCAAGGAGUCCGCUGCGAGGGCCAAGGAGUCCGCUGCGAGGGCCAAGGAGGCAGCUAUGCGGGCCAAGGAACAGGCUGCCAAGGAGAAAAUUGAGGCCAUGAGGCUUAAAGCUAGAUACUAUAAAUUUAAACUAGAAAAUAAUUAAACAUACAACCAAA